rnacentral:rRNA from 2 species
UGGGGAAUAUUGCGCAAUGGGGGAAACCCUGACGCAGCGACGCCGCGUGCGGGAUGAAGGCCUUCGGGUUGUAAACCGCUUUUGAUUGGGAGCAAGCUUUCGGGUGAGUGUACCUUUCGAAUAAGCGCCGGCUAACUACGUGCCAGCAGCCGCGGUAAUACGUAGGGCGCAAGCGUUAUCCGGAAUUAUUGGGCGUAAAGAGCUUGUAGGCGGUUCGUCGCGUCUGGUGUGAAAGCCCAUCGCUUAACGGUGGGUUUGCGCCGGGUACGGGCGGGCUAGAGUGCAGUAGGGGAGACUGGAAUUCUCGGUGUAACGGUGGAAUGUGUAGAUAUCGGGAAGAACACCAAUGGCGAAGGCAGGUCUCUGGGCUGUUACUGACGCUGAGAAGCGAAAGCGUGGGGAGCGAACAGGAUUAGAUACCCUGGUAGUCCACGCCGUAAACGGUGGACGCUGGAUGUGGGGCCCAUUCCACGGGUUCUGUGUCGGAGCUAACGCGUUAAGCGUCCCGCCUGGGGAGUACGGCCGCAAGGCUAAAACUCAAAGAAAUUGACGGGGGCCCGCACAAGCGGCGGAGCAUGCGGAUUAAUUCGAUGCAACGCGAAGAACCUUACCUGGGCUUGACAUGUGCCUGAUUACUGCAGAGAUGUGGUUUCCCUUCGGGGCAGGUUCACAGGUGGUGCAUGGUCGUCGUCAGCUCGUGUCGUGAGAUGUUGGGUUAAGUCCCGCAACGAGCGCAACCCUCGCCCUGUGUUGCCAGCGGGUUAUGCCGGGAACUCACGGGGGACCGCCGGGGUUAACUCGGAGGAAGGUGGGGAUGACGUCAGAUCAUCAUGCCCCUUACGUCCAGGGCUUCACGCAUGCUACAAUGGCCGGUACAACGGGAUGCGACAUGGUGACAUGGAGCGGAUCCCUUAAAACCGGUCUCAGUUCGGAUCGUAGUCUGCAACUCGACUACGUGAAGGCGGAGUCGCUAGUAAUCGCGAAUCAGCAACGUCGCGGUGAAUGCGUUCCCGGGCCU